GACGAACCGUCCUAACGUUGUUCGGAAUCACUGGGCUUAAAGGGCGCGUAGGCGGGUUCCCAAGUCGGUGGUGAAAUCUUUCGGCCCAACCGGAAAACAGCCGCCGAUACUGGGAGUCUUGAGGGAGGUAGGGGUCGAUGGAACUUCCGGUGGAGCGGUGAAAUGCGUAGAGAUCGGAAAGAACACCAACGGCGAAAGCACUCUGCUGGGCCGACACUGACACUGAGACACGAAAGCUAGGGGAGCAAAUAGG
rnacentral:rRNA from 1 species